rnacentral:rRNA from 1 species
GACGAACACUGGCGGCGUGCUUAACACAUGCAAGUCGAACGAAGUGGCGAACGGGUGAGUAACGCGUAAUCAACCUGCCCUUCAGCGGGGGACAACAGUUGGAAACGACUGCUAAUACCGCAUACUGAAGGAGGGGAAUGCGUCUGAUGAGCUAGUGGGAGGGGUACCGGCCCACCAAGGCGAUGAGCAGUAGCCGGGCUGAGAGGAUGAACGGCCACAUUGGAACUGAGCCACGGUCCAGACUCCUACGGGAGGCAGCAGUGGGGAAUCUUGCACAAUGGGCGCAAGCCUGAUGCAGCCAUGCCGCGUGUAUGAAGAAGGCCUUCGGGUUGUAAAGUACUUUCAGCUAGGAGCGUUACUCGCAGAAGAAGCACCGGCUAACUCCGUGCCAGCAGCCGCGGUAAUAC